CAGUAGCCGCGGUAACACGGAGGGGGCUAGCGUUGUUCGGAAUUACUGGGCGUAAAGCGCACGUAGGCGGCUUGGUAAGUUAGAGGUGAAAGCCCGGAGCUCAACUCCGGAAUUGCCUUUAAGACUGCCGAGCUAGUAGGUGAGAGAGGUAAGUGGAAUUCCGAGUGUAGAGGUGAAAUUCGUAGAUAUUCGGAAGAACACCAGUGGCGAAGGCGACUCUCUGGUCUGUAACUGACGCUGAGGAGCGAAAGCGUGGGGAGCGAACAGGAUUAGAUACCCCAGUAGUCCCUGUCUCUUAUAC
rnacentral:rRNA from 1 species